rnacentral:rRNA from 2 species
GGAGGAAGGUGGGGAUGACGUCAAGUCAUCAUGGCCCUUACGACCAGGGCUACACACGUGCUACAAUGGCGCAUACAAAGAGAAGCGACCUCGCGAGAGCAAGCGGACCUCAUAAAGUGCGUCGUAGUCCGGAUUGGAGUCUGCAACUCGACUCCAUGAAGUCGGAAUCGCUAGUAAUCGUGGAUCAGAAUGCCACGGUGAAUACGUUCCCGGGCCUUGUACACACCGCCCGUCACACCAUGGGAGUGGGUUGCAAAAGAAGUAGGUAGCUUAACCUUCGGGAGGGCGCUUACCACUUUGUGAUUCAUGACUGGGGUGAAGUCGUAACAAGGUAACCGUAGGGGAACCUGCGGUUGGAUCACCUCCUUACCUUAAAGAA